rnacentral:rRNA from 1 species
CCUACGGGAGGCAGCAGUCGAGAAUCAUUCACAAUGGGGGAAACCCUGAUGGAGCGACGCCGCGGGGGGGAAUGAAGGUCUGCGGAUUGUAAACCCCUGUCAUGUGGGAGCAAAUUAAAAAGAUAGUACCACAAGAGGAAGAGACGGCUAACGCGGGGCCAGCAGCCGCGGUAAUACAGAGGUCUCAAGCGUUGUUCGGAAUCACUGGGCGGAAAGCGUGCGGAGGCUGUUUCGUAAGUCGUGGGUGCAAGGCGCGGGCUCACCCCGCGGACGGCCCAGGAUACUGCGAGACUAGAGUCCUGGAGGGGGAACCGUCAUUCUCGGUGUAGCCGUUACAUGCGUAGAUAUCGCGAG